ACUCUCAUUUUUUGAAGAAAUGAAUGACAGAACCUGCCCCCUCUUGGGAACCUGACUGUGAUAAAGCAAUGUCUACUGCACCGACACGCCCAGACAUGGUGCCUUCAGACAAAGAAGAAGCGACACUCCCACUUUCAGUCGGUAACUGAACCUCAGAGAGGUCCAGUGAUUCUCCUUCGACU
rnacentral:lncRNA from 1 species